rnacentral:rRNA from 1 species
CCUACGGGAGGCUUCAGUGAGGAAUAUUGGUCAAUGGACGAGAGUCUGAACCAGCCAAGUAGCGUGAAGGAUGACUGCCCUAUGGGUUGUAAACUUCUUUUAUAUGGGAAUAAAACGUUCCACGUGUGGGAUUUUGUAUGUACCAUAUGAAUAAGGAUCGGCUAACUCCGUGCCAGCAGCCGCGGUAAUCCGGAGGAUCCGAGCGUUAUCCGGAUUUAUUGGGUUUAAAGGGAGCGUAGGUGGAUUGUUAAGGCAGUUGUGAAAGUUUGCGGCUCAACCGUAAAAUUGCAGUUGAAACUGGCAGUCUUGAGUACAGUAGAGGUGGGCGGAAUUCGUGGUGUAGCGGUGAAAUGCUUAGAGAUCACGAAGAACUCCGAUUGCGAAGGCAGUUCACUGGACUGCAACUGACACUGAGGCUCGAAAGUGUGGGUAUCAAACAGGAUUAGAUACCCCUGUAGUC